rnacentral:rRNA from 1 species
GACAGAGGGUGCAAACGUUGUUCGGAAUUACUGGGCGUAAAGCGCGUGUAGGCGGCUAAGUAAGUCGGGCGUGAAAUCCCACGGCUCAACCGUGGAAGUGCACUCGAAACUGCGAAGCUAGAGUCCUGGAGAGGAAGGCGGAAUUCUCGGUGUAGAGGUGAAAUUCGUAGAUAUCGAGAGGAACACCGGUGGCGAAGGCGGCGCUCUGGACCGAGACUGACGCUGAGGCGCGAAGGCGUGGGGAGCAAACAGG